AACCAACGCUGGCGGCGUGCCUAAUACAUGCAAGUCGAACGGGGAAAGCUUUCGGGUGAGUACUAGUGGCGCACGGGUGAGGAACGUGUGGAUAAUCUGCCUUAGAGUGGGGGAUAACUAGUCGAAAGAUUAGCUAAUACCGCAUAAGACCACGAGAGCUGCGGCUUUUGAGGUCAAAGGUUUUUCGCUCUAAGAUGAGUCCGCGUAAGAUUAGCUAGUUGGUGAGGUAACGGCUCACCAAGGCGACGAUCUUUAACUGGUCUGAGAGGAUGAUCAGUCACACUGGAACUGAGACACGGUCCAGACUCCUACGGGAGGCAGCAGUAGGGAAUAUUGCACAAUGGAGGAAACUCUGAUGCAGCGACGCCGCGUGAGUGAUGAAGGCCUUCGGGUCGUAAAGCUCUGUCGCAGGGGAAUAACACAAUGAAGGUACCCUGUAAGAAAGGAUCGGCUAACUUCGUG
rnacentral:rRNA from 1 species